UUGGAGGGCAAGUCUGGUGCCAGCAGCCGCGGUAAUUCCAGCUCCAAUAGCGUAUAUUAAAGUUGUUGCAGUUAAAAAGCUCGUAGUUGAAUUUCGGGGUUCUACCGUUGGUCGGGCUAUUGUCUGUACUGGCGUGUAGAAUUUCUACCUUCUGGGGAACUAUCAUGUUAUUAAUUUAGCGUGGUAGGAAACCAGGACCUUUACCUUGAAAAAAUUAGAGUGUUCAAAGCAGGCUUAUGUCUGAAUACAUUAGCAUGGAAUAAUAAAAUAGGACGGUGGUCCUGUUUUGUUGGUUUCUGAAUCACCGUAAUGAUUAAUAGGGAUAGUUGGGGGCAUUAGUAUUCAAUUGUCAGAGGUGAAAUUCUUGGAUUUAUUGAAGACUAACUACUGCGAAAGCAUUUGCCAAGGAUGUUUUCAUUAAUCAAGAACGAAAGUUAGGGGAUCGAAGACGAUCAGAUACCGUCGUAGUCUUAACCAUAAACUAUGCCGACUAGGGAUCGGACGAUGUUAAUUUUUCUUGACUCGUUCGGCGCCUUACGGGAAAC
rnacentral:rRNA from 1 species